rnacentral:Y_RNA from 1 species
GGCUGGUCCGAUGGUAGUGGGUUAUCAGAAUUUAUUAACGUUAGUGUCACUAAAGUUGGUAUUCAACCCUCCUCCCACUGCUACAUUUGACUGGCUAAAA